UACAGAGGUCUCAAGCGUUGUUCGGAUUCAUUGGGCGUAAAGGGUGCGUAGGCGGCGCGGUAAGUCGGGUGUGAAAUCUCGGAGCUUAACUCCGAAACUGCAUUCGAUACUGCCGUGCUUGAGGACUGGAGAGGAGACUGGAAUUUACGGUGUAGCGGUGAAAUGCGCAGAUAUCGGGAGGAACACCCGUAGCGAAGGCGGCACUCUGGGCCGGUACUGACGCUGAGGAGCGAAAGCGUGGGGAGCAAACAGG
rnacentral:rRNA from 1 species